CACAAGAACCUUUUGGACUGUUGAGCCUCCGCUUUCAUCUCUGUGCCCUGGUAAUUGCCCCCGGCCGGUGGGGACCUCCGUGCUCAGCCGGGAGCUGAUGGAGCAGCACAGGGCCAGCCACAGGAGGCUCCCGGCCACCCCUCCCAGUGCAGCAGGUCCGAGAUGGAAUUUCAUUGUGCUAAAAUUUACAGUUCUUUGAAACUCCUGAGAUUGAGCAGUUCCUGAGUGCUUUUUGAGCAUUUAUUCAUCUUGCAUGAAUAGCUGGCGUUAUGGAAAGUGAUGGAGAUGUUCGUCAGUGCCUGAAUAAAGUUCCUCUGGGAUGGCACCAAAAGUAAGAACUGAGAGGACCUGAGUGCCCAGCAUGGUGGCUCGGGGUCGCCCUCUGCGCUGCCCCAGUCCUAAAAGCAGAUUCCUGACACCCAAGUCGCAGCCUCUGGCAACUGCCAGACUUGCCAAAUCCCGAGGAGCCCCUCCCAACUCCCAGGCUGCUGGUAUCCCGGCAACCCUGGCUCGCUCGUCACCGAAGUGGCACCUCUGCCAACCCUGUGCCUGGCCAGGAUCGCAGACACAGACGGCUGGCACAGCCCAGGAGGGGCGGUGCGACUGCUGGCGGUGGGGCCGGAGAACAGGGAAGCUCUUCCCACAAGAUGUCUCAAUCAGCAGGGCCUCCCCGACUUUUCUCCUCUCCUUUUCUUAUUCUUUCUUUCUUCCUUUAAACACUGUCCUCUCUUUGCUUGGGCUGCAAGAAUCAGGCGGGUGAGUGAUUCUUUUCCAAGCCUUCCAGGGAUUUCUGGGGCGCUGCACCAGGCCGACAGGAUUUGGAACCUGGGAGCGAUUCCCUUUGUCCCCAGCAGCCCCCGCCAGUCAGGCCCAGUGUGUAGGUUAAUAAGGCUUAAACUUUAAAGGAAGGGUGCACAUCUGAUUGACAGGCUGCUGAAUAAGAGUCCUGGGGAAGUUCUGGGCUUGGAAAGUUCCCUGCUUCCUGAGACGCGGCUGAAUUUUAAAAAGCUGUCAUCUGGGGCUCAGGCGAGCACCUCCAGAGGUCAACUUGCGCGCAAAAUCAACUCGCUCUGCUCAACUCCCUUCCAGUUGAUCUUGGAGUUGCCCAGUAAAAGCGCUGUGUUUAAUCACUUUUGAUUGUCCCCGAAUCAAAGAGCACAGAGAGCUGCGAUCACAAGGCAGAGUGAUCAGCUGUGGGCUCUGAGGUGGCCCGCAUCAGCCUGAGGACGGGGCCACCUUGGUGCCACAGAACCAGAUUGCCACAUGGAAGUGACUCGGGCCACAGCCUCGAGCAACAGUAUGGGGUGAACUCUUUGGUUGAACAAUGAGAAAUACAAGAGAGAACUUCCCAGACUGGAAGGAAAGAAUUUCACUCCCUAGUUGGUUUUUAUUUCCGUGUUUCCAUCUCUGUCUGUAUGUGUGCACGCUGACACAACCCUACCCAGGCUGCAAGCAGCACUUCUGACCGUUCACACUUUUCAGGGCACUCUGGGAAGGGAAGCUGAGGCAGAAGGAUGGGGAGUCCAAGCCCUGCCUGCCAGCUUAGGGAGGCCGUGGAUCAAAACACCUGCAACAUUUAUGUCGAUUGGUUUUAGUUUUCAUUGUUUUGCUAUAAUUAAGCUUAUAUUUAAAACACUAUUUUUAAUGGUUACAUGUUAUUAUGAACUAUCAUCUUGUUUGGAAAUAUUGAGAAUAUUUUCUAUUUUCCAAAGGGCAGCUGCAGUUUACCCCAGAAUGUAUGUUUCAUGUACAUUUCCAGAAAUUAAAAAAUAAAAUGGUACAGGAAGCAUGAAUGCAUUUGUGACUCUGGCCACAGGCUGUCCUGCAAUUUUUUCAGAAAGGCCUAUGUCAAUUUAUAGUAUCAGAAUAUUAGUAUUUUAAUUGCAUAUAGUUUUCCAGCGUUGGGGGUUAUUGGGUCUUCUAAAAUUUUGGCCACUUUCCUGAGUAGAACACACUGUAUCAUGGGUAACUGUCUGUCAUGUGCUCGUCUUUGAUUGCUAGUGAGAUAAAUUGCUUUUGCCUUUGUGUUCCUGAUGAUGUUUCUCGUGGGUGAAAUAUCCGUCUUUAUGGAAUAGUUUUAAAUGAAUGUUGGUUUACUUAGGCGUUUAGAGUGUACCCUCUACAGAUCAAGGGAUUCUGCUUUUGUCCCCCAGUCUUACCUUUGCUUUGUAUUCAUUCUGUUCACCGAACAAAGCACCUGGAAGCGAAGCUCUGGGUAUAGUCAAGGGAGAGUUUCAAGAUGCCCCCAAGGAAAGUUUCCAGGCACCCUCACAGCCAGGACUCAGCUGUGUGGUCUUCUCAGAGGUGCAGGUGUGCCUGGUCCAGCUGUGUUUACACCCUGGGACUCAGCUGCGAGGGGCCCACACUGCCUCUGCCCCCACCAACUGGUGUUCAGAAGCUCAGAAGAGCUGGAGGGAAACUUCCGGGAGACGCCCAGCCUCUGCACACUGGACCGCCGGCAGCGCGGAAACCUUGCUGUCACUUGAAAAGGCACAGACAGGCCAGUGAUGAAGCUUUGGGAGCGUGGAGUAGCACACUUCUCGCUGAGUCGCUGCUUCCCCAUCCAUGCAGCCGCCCCGGGGUCCCUUGCUUUGUGCCUUGUUUUCUGUGCCUGCUGGAAUUGGUGACCCCAUGCAUCUCACGGCACCGAGGGUGCAGCUCUGUGUGCCCGGCUUACUGAGGUGCAAGGCAAAUCCAGGCAAGAUACUUGGGGAUUAGAACUACUCACCACCCCAGCUUUCCUUUCCAAAAUUCAAAUACAUUAAAU